UGCAACAGUUGCAGCCGCCCCAUUGCUUAUCUGGAGUUGCAGCCAGGGGUCUACGCUAGCAAUAUCAAUUAGCAUAUGUUUCCUAUGAUGCUACCCAAUAAACUACUGUCGCAUUGGCCCAAUGUUCAAGCCCCUAUGAUGAGAGCCAUGUAACAAGGAUUUUCAACUUCCAAUGAAAGCUAACAAUGUGAAGCAAUGGAGGAUUAUGUCUAAUAAACAAGCAAAGGUGGAAGAAAUCAAAUCCAGAUUCGACUUACUUUUAAAUCGACCCGCUCGAUUUCACUCAAUUCUUUGUAAAUACAUGGUGUGUCCUCUUCUUGAAGUAUAAAUUGAUGAGUUGUAAUCAUGUUAUGUCGAGGAUGAAUGAGUGUCAUAUAUCUAUUCCAUUAUCCAAACACAAUAGAUUGUGAACGAGUGAAGUUUCUUUACAUGGAAGUAA